rnacentral:rRNA from 1 species
UGAGCUGCGCUGGAGUCUGGGAUAAGCCUGGUGAACUGGGUGUAAUACCGGAUAUGACCUUACAUCGCAUGGGGUUUGGUGGAGAGCUUUGGCGGGUCAGGAUGGGCCCGCGGCCUAUCAGCUUGUUGGUGGGGUAAUGGCCUACCAAGGCGACGACGGGUAGCCGACCUGAGAGGGUGAUCGGCCACACUGGGACUGAGACACGGCCCAGACUCCUACGGGAGGCAGCAGUGGGGAAUAUUGCACAAUGGGCGCAAGCCUGAUGCAGCGACGCCGCGUGAGGGAUGACGGCCUUCGGGUUGUAAACCUCUUUCACCAGGGACGAAGCGCAAGUGACGGUACCUGGAGAAGAAGCACCGGCCAACUACGUGCCAGCAGCCGCGGUAAUACGUAGGGUGCGAGCGUUGUCCGGAAUUACUGGGCGUAAAGAGCUCGUAGGCGGUUUGUCGCGUCGUCUGUGAAAUUCUGCAACUCAAUUGUAGGCGUGCAGGCGAUACGGGCAGACUUGAGUACUACAGGGGAGACUGGAAUUCCUGGUGUAGCGGUGAAAUGCGCAGAUAUCCAGGAGGAACACCGGUGGCGAAGGGCGGGUCUUGUGGGUUAGUAACUGCCGUGAGGAGCGAAAAGCGUGGGUAGAGAACAGGAUUUAGAUACCCUGGUAGUCCACGCUGUAAACGGUGGGGUACUAGGUGUGGGGCUCAUUUCACGAUUUCCGUGCCGUAGCUAACGCAUUAAGUACCCCCCCUGGGGAGUACGGCCACAAGGCUAAAACUCAAAGGAAUUGGCGGGGGCCCACACACGCGGCGGAGCAUGUAGAAUAAUUAGAUACCACGCGAAGAACCUCACCUGGGUUUGACAUACCCCAGAAAGCUGUAGAGAUAUAGCCCCCCUUGUGGUUGGUGCACAGGUGGCGCAUGGCUGUCCUCAGCUCGUGUCGAGAGAUGUUGGGUUAAGUCCCGCAACGAGCGCACCCCUUGUCCUGUAUUCCCAGCGGGUUACCCCGGGGACUCGCAGGAGACCCCCGGGGUCAUCUCGGAGGAAGGUGGGGAAGACGUCAAGUCCUCAUCCCCCUUAUGCCCAGGGCUUCACACAUGCCACAAUGGCGGGCACAGAGGUCUG